rnacentral:rRNA from 1 species
GACGAACGCUGGCGGCGUGCCUAAUACAUGCAAGUAGAACGCACAGGAUGCACCGUAGUUUACUACACCGUAUUCUGUGAGUUGCGAACGGGUGAGUAACGCGUAGGUAACCUGCCUGGUAGCGGGGGAUAACUAUUGGAAACGAUAGCUAAUACCGCAUAAGAACAUUUACUGCAUGGUAGAUGUUUAAAAGGUGCAAAUGCAUCACUACCAGAUGGACCUGCGUUGUAUUAGCUAGUAGGUGAGGUAACGGCUCACCUAGGCGACGAUACAUAGCCGACCUGAGAGGGUGAUCGGCCACACUGGGACUGAGACACGGCCCAGACUCCUACGGGAGGCAGCAGUAGGGAAUCUUCGGCAAUGGGGGGGAACCCCUGACCGAGCAACGCCGCGUGAGUGAAAGAAAGGGUUUUUCGGAUCGUAAAAGCUCUGUUGUUAAAGGAAGAAACG